rnacentral:lncRNA from 1 species
UACAUAUAUAUAUAUAUAUGGCCUACACCACAGCCACAGCAAUACAGGAUAUGAGCAGCAUCUGCAGCCUACACCACAGAUCACGGUAAUGCUAGAUCCUUAACCUACUGAGCAAGGCCAGGGGCAUGUAUAUAUAUAUGACAUCUUAAGCCAAUCAUCUGUUGAUGGGCACUUGGAUUCUUUCCAUGUCUUGGCUAUUGUAGUUUGUUUUUUUUUUUUUUUUUUUUUAGGGCCGCACCCAUGGCAUGUGGAGGUUCCCAGGCUGGGGUUGAGUCAGAGCUGACGGGGCUGGUCUGCACCGUAGCCCAUAGCAACAUGGGAUCCAAGCCAUGUCUGCGACCAACAUCACAGUUCACAGCAACAGUGGAUCCUUAACCCACUGAACAGGGGGCCAGGGAUCGACUCUGAGUCCUCAUAGAUGCUAGUUGUAUUCAUUACCUCUGAGCCAUGACAGGAACUCCUAUGUCUUGGCUGUUGUAAAUAGUGCUGCUGUAAACAUUGCACUGCAUGAAUCUUCUUUUUUUUUUUAGGGCAGCACCUGCAAUAUAUGGAAGUUCUUGGGCUAGGGGUCCAGUUGAAGCUGUAGGUGCCAGCCUACACCACAGCCACAGCCACAGCCACAGCAGAUCUGUGACUUACACCUCGGCUCAUCCUUAACCCACUGAGCAGGGUCAGGGAUCAAAUGUGCAUCCUCAUGGAGACUAGUCAGGUUCAUUACUGCUGAGUCAUAAUGGGAACUCAGGCAUAUAUCUUUCUGAAUUAAGAGUUUUCAUCUUUUCUGAAUAUAUGUCCAGGAGUAAGGGGUUGUUGAGUCAUAUGGUAUUUCUAUUUUUAGUUUAUUACUAUUUAUAGUUUAUUACUAUUUUUCAUGGUGGCUGCACAAAUUACAUUCCCACCAACAGUGUAGGAAGGUUCCCUUUUCUCCACAUCCUCUUCAGCAUUUAUUAUUUGUAUAUUUUUAAAAUGAUAGCCAUUCUGGCCAGUGUGAGGUGAUACCUCAUUGUGUUUUUGUUUGUUUGUUUUCAUUUUUGGCCGCCCUGCAGCAUAUCACAUAUGGAAUUCCUUGGCCAGGGAUCAGAUCCGAGCAGCAGUCACACCUAAGCCACAGCUGCAGCAACACUGGAUCCUUAACCCUGUGUGUCAGGCAGGGGAUCAAACCUGUAUCCCAGUGCUUCCAAGACGCUGCUGAUCUCAUUGUGCCACAGUGGGAACUCUCUCAUUGUAGUUUUGAUUUGCAUUUCUCUUUAAAUUUAGUGAUGUUGAGCAUCUUUUCAUGUGUCUGUUGGCCAUGUCUUCCUUGGAGAAAUGUCUGUUUAGGUCUUCUGCCCAUAUUUGAUUGGGUUGUGUGGGUUUUUGAUACUGAAUUGUAUAAACUGUGUAUUUUGGAAAAUAAGCUCUUGUGGCUUUGUUUGUGAAUGUUUUCUCCCAAUCUGCAUGUUGUCUUUUUGUUUUGUUGAUGGUUUCCUUUGCUUUGCAAAAAAUUUAAAAUGUGAUCAGAUCCGUCCCAGUCAUGGUUGUAACCUACGCCACUGCAGCUGCAGCAGUGCUGGAUGUUUUAACCCACUGUGCCAAGCCAGGCUGGGGAUUGAACCUGCAUCUUGGUGCUGCAGAAACACUGCUGAUCCUGUUGUCCCACAGCAGGAACUCUGUCCCCAAAAGAUUUUUGAGUUCUGACAGUUGAUUGAAUUAUUUAACUCUUACUGUUUCUAAUAUUUUUUUAGUUGAUUCUCCAGGAUUUCUGGAUACAUAAUCAUAUUAUGCAAAUAAAUAUAAUUUUGCUACCUUCAUUUUAAUAUUUGUAACUUUUCCGUGUAAAGAAUAAAGUUGGUUAUUACCUACAAAGCAAAUGUUAACAUUGAGCAUCUUUUUUUCACCUGACUUUGGGAAUGCUUCAAAUAUUUUAUCAUUGUCUAUUGGCUUCUUCAUUUUUUUUUAAUUUUUUACAAGUUUUACUGAAGUCUAGUUAAUUUAAAAUGUGAUAAUUUCUGCUGCACAACAAAGUGACUCAUAUAUCAUUGUCUAUUGGCUUCUUUAAUGAUGACAUUUUCCUCACUGGUCCUUUUUGGUGGCUUUUGGUUUGUUACAUGUAUUUUUGAAAAUCACAUUAAGCAAGUAUCUAUUGAUUUCUAUUUUGUUAAGACUUAAAAAAUUCAGGAGUUUCCAUUGAGGCUCAGCAUGUUAAGAACCCGACUAGUAUCCAUGAGGAUGUGGGUUCAAUUCCUGGCCUCAUUCAGUGGGUUAAGGAUCCAGCUGCUGUGUAGGUCACCGAUGCGGCUAUGAUCCAGUGUUGCUGUGGCUGUGGCAUAGGCUGGUGGCUGUGGUGUAGGUCACCAUCUGCAACUUUGAACCCUAGCCUGCCGGUAUGGCCCUGAAAAGAAAAAAAAAAAAAAUUCAGAAAGGAAGUUUAACUAUUUAAAUGAGUAGCAGCUUGGUAAUUCUUGAUGACCUCCAUUUACCUUAGUGUUUUUAAACUUUUUUUUUUUGUUUUUAGAGCUACAUCUAUGGCAUAUGGAGGUUCCCUGGCUAGGGGUCAAAUCAGAGCUGCAGCUGCCAGCAUACACCACAGCCACAACACCAUAUCCAAGCUGGUCUGCAACCUAUACCACAGCGCACAGCAAUACCAGAUCCUUAACACACUGAGUGAGGCCAGGGAUUGAACCUGCAUUCUCAUGGAUGCUAGUCAGAUUCGUUUCUGCUGAGCCACGAUAGGAAUUCCUGGCCUUUGUUUUAUAAUAUGUGCUAGAAGUUUAGAUGUUGAUGGUUUUUAAUAUUUGGGGUAAGCAACAAGGUAAACUGGGCAAUAAUAGUUCAGAUAUGUUUUUCCCUAUAAGUUUUUCUCUGAAUCUCUUGAGAUCUGUGCUGUGGAUGUACCCCUGUGAUUCUGUGUUUGAGGGUCAUCCUUUUUUUUUUUUNCAACAACUGAUGUGGAAUCUAGUUCCCAGACCAGGGAUUGAACCCUGGCUAUAGCAGUGAGUGUGCUGAGUCCUGAGCACCAGACCAUCAGAGAACUCGCAAAGGUCAUCCUUUAAUUUUAGCAGUUCUGCUUCAGCCUGGCCUACCUGUGGAUGGGGGUUGGGAGUGGGGAGGUAGGAGGAGGAAAAUGGCCACUCUAUAAUACUGUGGAUUAUGACUUUUGUUUGGUGAGUCAGUGCUUACUUAUGUCUGCCUAGUCAAACUUGAUCACCACCUGCAAAAUGCUGGCUCCUUUUCAACCCUGAUGACUGGUUGAGGAAAAUUAAAACAGUGAGGCUAAAAUGUAGCCCAUGAUGUUUUUCUCCUAUGCAAACAUGAGUCCCACAUAUGUGAUUCCCAUUUCUCUUAAGGUAGGCCUUCCAUUUUCUUGAACUUUAACUUUACAAGUUAGGAUGUUUAGUAAAAUCUGUACCUUGUUUUCUAAGGGCAUAAGAGUUAUAAUAUUGUUAUAAUAUUAGUAUUUUCCCUGGCUUUUUUUUUUUUUUUAGGGCCCCACCCAAGGCAUAUGGAGGUUCUUAUCAUAGGGGUCAAAUUGGAGCUGCAGCUACCAGCCUAUACCACAGCCAUAGCAAUGUGGAACCUCAGCCAAGUCUGCGACCUACGCACAACUCACCCCAAUACCAGAUCCCCAACCCAUUGAGCGAGGCCAGGGAUUGAACCCACAUCCUUAUGGAUACGACAUGGCCUCGCUCAGUGAGUUAAGGAUCCGGCGUUGCCAUGAGCUGUGGUGUAGGUCGCAGACAUGACUCGGAUGCUGCAUUGCUGUGUCUGUGGUGUAGGCAGGCAGCUGUAGCUCUGAUUCGACCCCUAGCCUGGGAACCUCCAUAUGCUGAGGGUACGGCCCUGGAAAAGACAAAAACAAAAAACAAAACAAUGAAAAGAGUAUUUCUAUAUCUGGGCAUAGUAUGUAACUAUUUCAUUAAAGUUUUGUUCAGAAUUUCCCCUGAAAAUAAAAAUGUAACGGACAAGGAGGACAUUGACACAUCUCCAGGGACUUCUCAUUAACAAAAUUUCUGAAAUAUUUACAUUAAACAUUUUAUCUAUACAGAACUAACUCUAGGAAAGGAUAAGUGCCUUUCUUGAUUUGACAGUUUUUCCCAUGUGACUCUUAGAAGAACAACAGAUAAAACAAACCUAAUUCUUGCAGUUCCCGUCGUGGCUCAGUGGUUAACGAAUCCGACUAGAAACCAUGAGGUUGUGGGUUCGGUCCCUGCCCUUGCUCAGUGGGUUAACGAUCCGGCGUUGCCAUGAGCUGUGGUGUAGGUUGCAGAUGUGGCUCGGAUCCUGCCUUUCUGUGGCUCUGGCAUAGGCCGAAGGCUACAGCUCCGAUUAGACCCCUAGUUUGGGAACCUCCAUGUGCCACAGGAGCGGCCCUAGAAAAGGCAAAAAGACAAAAAACAAAAACAAAACCAAAACAACCUAAUUAUUUGUAACAGCUCUAUUUUUAUAAGGUGAAGCCGCAGAUCUUUUGGCUUUCUUGAGGCACACAGAAAUCUCAAAGAUAGUUUAGUGUAAAAUACUGUAAAAAGUUUUAUAUUAUUUGUAUUUAGGAGAUGAUUAGGAGAAUGCAAAAUCGAGAGCUAUUAGGAGAUUUGGGGCUUGAUUAAAAUAGAAUCAUGAGUAUCUGAGAAAUAAUACUUCAUUACUUAUUUAAUCAAAGUAACAAUAAAAAUAAACAUAGAAGAUAAUAUGUUUGCUGAUUCAUAAAUGAGGAGGAACUUUUAUUAUUAUUUUCUUUAGAUAAUCAAGGACAUAAAAAAGUCAGCACAAAGCACAGAAAAUUAUUUUGGUAGGACAGUAUUUCUGCUAUUUAGGCACUCUGUGCAGAAGGUAUAUAAUAGCCUUUCAUGUUGAAGAUAUUAAUCAGUAACCCAAGGAGGCAAGCCCAUCAACACUGAAUGAACUUGGCUAAAAUUUAAAAUGUUUCAUAGCUUCUUUUCAGAACUGGCUAUUAUAAACAAAAGCAAAGAAAAAUUUACUUUCCAAGUUAGGUCCUUCAUUACUGUCUUUCAUAUUCUUGUUCAAACAGGCAUUUUACUUUGAGGUCAGUGUUUCUCUAAGGGGAUCUGUGAAGUCAAAACAAUAUCUGUGGCAAUACUAAGACACUGUUUUAAUGUAUAAUACAUUUAUUAUUGCUAUCUUCAAGGGUGUCAGUAAAUAAAUAUUCAAAAUUCUCAAUUUCCAAUAUGGUAAACAUCAAUAGAUAUAAUCCAUAUAAGAUAAAAGCUCUUUGGAGUCUUCAUAAUUUCUAAGAGUGGAAUGGGGUCAUAAGACCAAAAAGCCCAAGAGCCUGUCCUUUAGUUAAAACUCAGUUUUAUUUCUCUGUCAUUGUUGCUCUCAGCUACUCAUAUUGAUUAUAACUUUUAGCUAAGCUAAUUUCUGUUUCACAGAGAAAAGUUAUGGGGGAGGGUGCCUAAAUUGAGAACUGUCUGCCAUACACCAGCAUUUUAGCAGGCUAGCAGAGCUCUUGGGCACACAUAUAUCCCUUUACACCUUAAAGUGGCAAAAAUUGACGCUUUCAUUAACAUGACCUGGAACUAUAGCCUGUCAGUAUUAAAAUAAAAAGCAAAAUAUAUAAGCUUAAAACUGUGCCUAGUAAUUAAUGUUUCAGUAUCUUAGAUACUUCUAGGAAUCUAAUAAUUUUCAUUUAAUUAAUUUAAUUUAAUAUCAGUUCAAGGUUUUAGGUUACCUAAACAUCUUGAAAAUUACCUUCAAGCUGCCAUCCACAAAAUAGGUGUUGUUGAAAAAAGCUUUUGCCAAAAGAAUGAUUUAGGAGUUCCUGUUGUGGCUCAGCAGGUUAAGAGCCCAGUGUCAUGUCCUUGAGGAUGUGGUUCAAUCCCUGGCCUUGCUCAGAGGGUUAAGGAUCUGGCAUUGCCUCAAGCAGAGGUAUAGGUCACAGAUGCAGUUGGGAUCUGGCAUUACUGGGAUUGCGGUGUAGGCCAGCAGCUGCAGCUCCAAUUCAGUUGCUAGUCUGGGAGUUUAUGAAUGCCACAGGUGUGACCCUAAAAAGAAAAAAAAAAGAUUUAAUUUAUUUGAACAUAGGAAUUUAUAUUUUUCAGAACUGUAAACAUUUUUGUGAUUAAUUUUAGCUUUUUUGGUUAAAGCCAUAACUUUAUUAAAUUUAUUAAAUUAGUCUAAUUUACCAAAGAUUUGCCUAAAUCUUGGGUUCUUCAACAGUCCUGAUUUUGUUUUUCCCAUAUUUUUGUCCUUUUUGGCCAUACCUACAACAUGUGGAAUUUCCCAGGUCAGGGGUUGAACCAGUGCCUCAGCAGCAACUCAAGCUGUAGCAAUGACAGUGCCAGAUCCUUAACCCAUUGAGCCGCAAGGGAGGUCGUCCUGACUUUGUUUCUAUAAGUAUCUUGUUUGUUUGUUUUUUUUGUAAUGUACUUUUAAAAUAUUUGAAAUCCAAUUUUUUUAUUCUCUGAGAAUUAAAGACAAUGAAAAUCCUGGAAAUGGAUGGGGUGAUAUUGCAUGUUGUGAAUGAGCUUGAUACUACUGAAAUGUACAUUUUAAAAUGAU